GGCCCAGAGGGGCGGGGGGGGAAGGGGUGGGACAGUGAAUGAAAGUCUGAAAAAGGGCUAUGACGUUAGCGGCGGACGAGUGAGUAACACGCGCAGCUGCCUGUAAGACUGGGAUAACUUCGGGAAACCGAAGCUAAUACCGGAUAGGAUCUUCUCCUUCAUGGGAGAUGAUUGAAAGAUGGUUUCGGCUAUCACUUACAGAUGGGCCCGCGGUGCAUUAGCUAGUUGGUGAGGUAACGGCUCACCAAGGCAACGAUGCAUAGCCGACCUGAGAGGGUGAUCGGCCACACUGGGACUGAGACACGGCCCAGACUCCUACGGGAGGCAGCAGUAGGGAAUCUUCCGCAAUGGACGAAAGUCUGACGGAGCAACGCCGCGUGAGUGAUGAAGGCUUUCGGGUCGUAAAACUCUGUUGUUAGGGAAGAACAAGUACAAGAGUAACUGCUUGUACCUUGACGGUACCUAACCAGAAAGCCACGGCUAACUACGUGCCAGCAGCCGCGGUAAUACGUAGGUGGCAAGCGUUAUCCGGAAUUAUUGGGCGUAAAGCGCGCGCAGGCGGUUUCUUAAGUCUGAUGUGAAAGCCCACGGCUCAACCGUGGAGGGUCAUUGGAAACUGGGGAACUUGAGUGCAGAAGAGAAAAGCGGAAUUCCACGUGUAGCGGUGAAAUGCGUAGAGAUGUGGAGGAACACCAGUGGCGAAGGCGGCUUUUUGGUCUGUAACUGACGCUGAGGCGCGAAAGC
rnacentral:rRNA from 1 species